ensembl:lncRNA LRRC8C-DT LRRC8C divergent transcript
GUCGACUCCGCGGUGCCAGCCCCGCUGUGACGCAGGCCGCGCCGCCCGGGAACUUCCUCCCCUGCAGAGACCACCUCGCUCCCGGGACUCGCCAGCGAGGGAUGCCGCCGGCCGCCGGGGGCCUUCUCCAGGACCAGGAGAGAAAUCCUCUCUCCGCUUCACGACGCGGCCACUCCCACCCCUGAGACGCCCACCUGGCGGACUCUGAGGGAGGAUUCGGCUGCGUCUAAUACCACCUCCACCCCUCAUCCCUCACAAUGCGCGGAAAACCACAGGCGGCUGUGCGCGCAGCGUCGGCUCAGCCACCGCAGCUCCUCCCCUGGGAUGAAAAAGCACUCUGACGUCUUGAAAGCUGGCAGCUCUCUGUUUGGAAAAUCUCUGCCCAGUGAAAAAAUGUACCGACAAGAUUACUAAGUAACACAGUCUUCUGGGAAUGCCUUAUCAAUGCCAGCUAUUUGAAGAGCACCCAAAGUCAAACUAGUGCUCCGCGCUGGCAGUCUGGAAAAGGCAGAUGUAUCUCUCCUAUAGCCACAAUGUGGGCAUUCAUUAGCUAUGCCAAUCAGUUGCUCAGACUCGGACUUUGAACCGGGGCUAACAUUACAAAGAAGUGGAAGCCAUGAAGAAUCUAUUCUGUGGGAGGCCUAGGGUCACAACAGCAGCAACAUCAAGUUUUCAAGAACAGAAGCAGUGCUCUGAGCUGAUAUACUCUAUAAAUGAUGUCCUUCUGCUCCACAUGCAUGCGGAAUCUUUUCACUUUUUCAAAGAUGGCUUUGGCCUGUUCACCCUCCUUCUUGUCCAGGACACUGGAAGUUGGGCUUUCUAUGCCAGCUGACUCCAAACCUGGCUGUGGGUAGGGCAAUGACUGUUUGCCGGAAUCUAUGUCAGCUGAACACCCUGAGGACGAAAGCAAAAUCUUGGACUUGGAGAGUUUCAGAGGCCUCACUGACUGCUCAGCCACUGUUUCUGAAAGGGCGCGGGUGGUCCAUGGAGAAUCGAAGCACUUGUGAAGGAUGGCCACAAAAUGCUCGAGCCUGGAACUGGUACUGGGGUAGUGAAGCCAAAAGUUGCUGCAGGCUGCAAAGAUGAGCGUGUGCAAGAGCACCAGAUAGGGGAAAAACUUUGCAAACCAAUGGAGCUGUUUCUCGUAACAGACGGCAUCAAUAUAGGAGUACUGCUGUCGGUGGAGGUCAUUCUGAAUUCGGAGGGGGAGCGGAAGCGGUGUCCCAGGAUUAGAGGAUGUGUUCAUGCUGGCUUUCAGGAUGUCCCAAGGCACGGCACAGUGAUUGUCAAAUUCCACUUUGCAUGGAAGACAGCACAGAACCCUGCUCUGCGUCAGCUGGAGAGCUCCGGCCAGCACGGCCACCAGCAGCAUGAUCAGUGUGAUGUAAUACCAGAAGACGUCCCACCAUGGUUUUAAGAUGUGAUAAGAUGACUGGGCAUCUGCUAAGCAUUUUAGCUCAGUUAGUGUAAUCAUGACUUUCCCUUGUAGGAGGACAGAAACUGGAAGAGGGAAAUAAAAGAAACACUACUGAAGCAAGUACUCAAAUAAGCAUUUUACUCUAAUAUUCAUACACACAUGCCCUCCUUCCCAAGUAGGAUUUAGCUCUGGGGUAAAACCUAAAAGGAAGAGCUGAUUAAGGGGCACAUAAGUCUUCUGGUUUCAUUUGAAACUAUAGGCCAUCCAACUCUGAACCAUAGUCUCUUAGAUGGGGGACCAUUUAGUGAUACUGACUAGAAAGAAAUUUAGGGGUAGCCCUUGAGGUAAUUAUCUCGUUACCUCUUGUAUCUCAACUCCAGGCUAGGCUACUAAAAACCAGGAGCCAAUUUUUCUUCAACUGACAUUUGAAAAACUUGUUCCUAUGCUACUAAUAUUUUUUUCUUUCUUUCUUUCUUUUUUUCUUCCUUUUUUUUUUGAGACAGGGUCUCACAGGCCUCAGACUCUUGGCCUCAAGUGAUCCUCCCUGCUUGGCCUCUGAAAGUGCUGGAAUUACAGCUAUGAGUCACCACAGCCAGCCACCUAAUUUCCAGUGGUCACAUUUUACCUUCCAAAAUGUCUGAGUAAGCUCCUUUCCACACCUUGUCCCAUGUCUGAAGCAUCACUUACAGCCCAAGAGUUGUUUUAGUCACCACAAGGAGCCUCUUUUAAGCAAGCUCUGCUUUGUGAAAUUACCCCUUAGGCUUAGUGGGGUCUACAAUUCUAUGCCCAGAACAACCUGUCACUGAAUGCAUUAUCUCCUUUCCACACAAGCUUUCGCUUUGUAAUUUAAGUACAUGAGUAUGAAAAAACUUAGAGUAUUUAAAAGUUGGGAAGUAUUUAAAAGUUAUGGCUUAAAAAAGAAUAAGAAAGAAAAGCUCUGCUAGAAUAUUCUAUCAUGGGGACUCCCUCUCAUGUUUAAUGUUGUGAUGGCAAAGUACUAAAAGGAUAAACGAUGGAGGCAUAUUCCAUUAUUAAAUUACUUUUGCCUUCAGGAAAACAAGAUUAUCUUGUAUUUUCAUACUGAAAAGUAUUCAGACAACAUUCCUGAGAAUUUCUAUGUUGAGUCUUACAUACAUCAAUUGUUUCAAAAAUUGCUAAUCAGUAAAAUCCAGAUGAUCUAUAAGAUGGCACAGAGUAAAGUAAAAGGAAAUAUGUGGGUCUUAGAAAAUAUCUGAUAAGAAAAAGAAGAAAAAUAAUAAUGGUAGCAUGGUGCCCCCUUGCUGGUAGUCCAGCUCUAAUCUAUUUUCAAGGGUUUCUCUUGGAUUUUCUUGAGUCUGAAGUCUUAUCAUUUAUUCUGGGCCAGAGUUACUCUCUAGACACUCUAGUAUUAGUAGCAUCCCCAAGGAAGCCUUUUUUU